rnacentral:lncRNA from 1 species
AUAUAUCAAGGUGAAAAAGUACAGGAAUCGCGGGCUGGCUUUCGGUCAUAAGACCGACUUCUACUGCAUCCAGCAACCACGCACUAGUAUGGCUGAUGGAUUCUACCUCAUGCAUCACCUGCUUGAGUACAGAAGGGAUAAUCAAUGUCUUCGCAUGUCACCUACUACCAACGAUGCCGAGAUUGUCAGCUGGGCCACAAGCAUAGGAAGGACACCGGAUCAUCAAAUCAGAGCUGAGUUUUAUCACGUACAGUGUGAAUUUGCCCAAGUGAUCAUGAAGCGGGUCCUCGAACCAACAGGGAUGUUCUACCAUGGGCCAAUCACGCGGGAAGAUGUCCGAGCACUGCUACUCGCUCAGCGUCUGGACCUGAAGCCUUUCAAGAAGCUCGGGUGCUUACUCCCUGACUAUGAAGAUUGGACCGCCGACAUGAAGGACUGAUUGUUGAUGAGAAUGUGUCACUACUGUCUUUCUAUGGCAAAACUUUGAAUUUAUGCAUGGCGAAACUAUGUGAUGUAACUAAACCGUGGUCCUGAUCUAGCGUAGAUCGCUCUAGUUAAUUAGUUUGGGUAUGAGGAACUUUGUCGUUUAUGUUUACUAUUGGUUGCUUGUAUUUUGCUAAUUAUGCCUCCUUGUUUUCUUAAGUACAUUAUGUUGCAUAUUAUCGUUCAAUUCAUUAACUCACGAUGCAGGUACAUAGAUCAGAGAUGGCGAAGGACUACUAUGCCGUGUACGUUGGGAGUGUUCCAGGAGUCUACGACCACUGGCCAGCCGCUCAGGCCCAGGUGCACAGGUACCCGGGUGCUAGCCACAGAGGGUUCGCGGGAGUUUUGUUUUCCUCCGGACGAGGGUGUGAGAGAAACCUCGACGGAAAGCGGGUGUGUGGGCCAUCGGAUUACGAACCGACGGCUCGGCAGCUGCCAGUUGGGCUUCCCGUGUUUAUUCGUGCUCUAUAAGAAACCCGGUGACACGACAUGCCUCUUUUAGACGAUGGUCGGUAUCUCCGAGACGCCGACAUACCAUAACGGGGAACGUAACGGAGACACGGUUCGCAAGCGUUUCUUCCUCCUCCUGGCAAGGAGGCGCGGGGAAUGUGACGGAGAUAUGGUUCGCAAGCAUUUCUUUCUCCUUCCGGGAGGAAUCACGGGAUCUCGACGGUAAGUGGAUGGGCCAUCGGAUUGCGAUCCGACGGCUCAUGGGGCUUCCCCUCAUGCUCUGUUUUCAGAAACCAGUAGCGGUUCAAAUCUUUUGGCGUGCACACACAGAGAGCACGUGACCCAUCGGGCGCUCCCAAAACAGGGGAAAAGAGGCCUCAAAACGGCACAACGUAACACAAUCCGACACCGCCUCCAACUCUUGGCGGCCGCCACCAUAUCCAAUCCCCAAACCCCCCGCCGUCGCGCCCAAUCGAUCCGCCGCCCCUAAACCCUAGACCAGAAGCGGAAUCGAUCGACCGACCCACCGAGCAAUGCCGCCGCAGUUCCCCGCCGGCAGCGCCAGGCCCUCCUCCGCCUCCGCCGCGCCCGCUGGCGGCGUAAAGAGGCCGUCUUUGCCCCCCACCACCUCCCUCUCUCCGCCGCCGACCAAGAAGAUCGCCCGUCCGGUGUCCGCGCCCUGCCUCCCCGCGCUCUCCAAGAAGGUGCCCCCUCGCCCGACGCCUUCGACCGCGGCCAGGCCGAGGCCGCCGCAGCCCCCGGCGUCGUCGUCGGCGUCGGCGUCGGCGGCGAGGGCCGCCGGGCCGCCCAAGAAGACGGCGCAGCGCCCGGCCGCGGAGGCGGAGGCGGAGGCGGCCCCGGGCCGCGCGGCCGAGAGCGUGCACCCGGCGCGGCGGCUGGCGUGCGGGACGGCCGUGUACGUGCGCACGCGCUACUACGUGGUGAUCGCCGACGGGACCGGCAGGUGCUGCCUCCUCAUCUGGCUGCCCGCCAGGGUCGUCUCCUCCUCCGACGCCUACCACUGCAGCGUCAAGUACGCCGCCGACCUCCACGCCAUGUUCGCCGGCAAGAUCGUCCGCGUCCCCGUCACCGACGUCCGCGUCGCGCCCAACCACCAUCCCUCCACAGCCGCCCAGAGCCAGAGGCCCCAACAACAGGCGCCCUGAGCCGAGUCGACACCGGCCAAGUCCAAGAAUCGCCCCCAAGAGCAAGCUUCGCGUGCCCCUGGCGAAGCCAAGAAACGCCGUGCUUGCUGACGGGCUGCUAAUCAAUCCCAUGGGCCGAUCGAUCAAGAUAGCAGAGGCCUGAUAAUGCCAAGAUUUUUGUUUCUUUUUCAGUUCUUUUGCUCGUCUUGACUCGAGAUUUUGCAGCGCCCAAAUCGGCAGUGAGAACUACCGUACAGAUGUCUGAGUUAAAUCUUAGUUUAUCAGCACAUUGGUUUCAGUUUCGAUUCCUAUCUAUGUUGAUCAUUCCAGUUUUGAUCUCGGUGAGGUGAAUGAUCCUGCUUAUACAAUCUUGUCGGUUCAAAGCUAAUCUUGCUAUCCCGCUUGAGGAAUUUGCUCUUUUCGUUAUGAUGGGGGGCAACAAUUGCCUCUGUUUCCUGAAUCUUCUCUAUUGAAAGCUAUUCUUGGCAUCUGCUUAGUUGAUCAGCACAUUGGUUUCAGUUUCGAUUCCUCUGUUGAUCAGUCCAGUUUAGAUCUGUUCCUGCUUGAAGAGUUUGUUCUUCUUUUGGUCAUGGGGCGUAAUCGUCUCUGCUUUUCGAAUUUUCAUCACUCUUUCCUUAAUGUUUCAGUUCAUUUUGCCAAAAAAGGAGCUCCUGUUAUCUUGACUGGCGCAAAUACUGGCCAAGUUUUGAAUGGCAUGAUCAUGUUACCGGAUGGUUCAAUACAAUUCAAACACAUUUGUCACAAGGAUUCAUGUGAAAUCAUGCUGAAUAGUAGGAGCAUCUUGAUUGUAAGCGUUGCACUUAACUGCAAACAUGAAAAAUGACACAUCAUUCAGAAUCAGAUAAAAAUCUGGGAGCGCGCACACUCGGUUCAGUUUAGAUUCUUUUUUCAGCCCAGUGGUUUCAGGCUUUCAGUUUUGAUCUCCGGUGAUCCUGCUUAUACAAUCUUCUCGAUUAAAAGCUAUUCUUGCUAUCUUGCUAAGAAUGUCAUUUUGGUUAUGGGGUGCAAUUGUCUCUGUUUUUUGAAUGGGAAAAUUUUGUUUUUGCCACUCUAGAUAGAUUUUGCCAAUUUUCCUUAUGCAAAUUUUGACAUUUCACUUUUGCCACUCUUAGUUUUUGACAAUUAUCUGAAUUGCCGUUCCGGUGGCAAAAGCAAAAAUUUUGGAGUGGCGAUUGUGAUACAUUUCAAAAGCUAAGAGUGGCAAAAAUGAAAUAAAAUUAUACUGCUUUUGCCACGGAAUGGCAAUUGUGAUAACUCUCAAAAGCUAAGAGUGGCAACAGUGAAAUGUCAAAAUCUAGAGUGGCAUAAGGAAAAUUGGCAAAAUCUAGAGUGGCAAAAACAAAAUUUUCCCUUUUUGAAUUGCAUGAUGGCAUCGACCGAGUAUUUACUCGGUCGAUCGUGUAUAGUUAUUCGAUCCCUUUCGCGUAAAACGAACUAUAGUUUGGUCCUGCCGCUGAAAAGGAGCUUCAUUGAUUUUAUUCCAGUAGGCUACUCUCCUAUCUUGGAUUCCCUCUUAUAUCUUCCACCACUUGAAUCACGCGAAUACUCCCCAUGUUUUGAAUUACAUGUGCAUCGGAUGCUUUUUGUUUGACACCGAAUCAUGUGAAGUACAUCAUGAGAACAUGAUGCUGUAAGCGUUGCACUGCAAUGCAAAACUUGGGAGAAACGGGGCCUGUCAUAGGAAGCCAAAAUGACAGGUCAAAUAAUUUUCACAAUUGGUGCAGCGGAAUCUAAAAAUCAUUGAAAAUUCGAAAUGUGCUCGGAAUUAAAAAAAACUACAUCAUAAAAUAUAAGUUGUUAAAAAUAUUAAUCAUGUGUUUGAAAAAUGUAUAUCUAUAUCAAUAUAAAAAGACCCAAAUGGGCAGAUCCAAACCAUCUCGACCGUUAAAUCAUGUUAUCUAGCGGUUUAAAUCGCUGUAAUGUUGAGCACCAAACACAUUUAACGCUCUAAGUACCCAUCAUUACCAUUGAUUAUAAAUACGUUUUGACUCAACGCUAUUCCUUGAAAUCUGCCAUGUAAUUAAUAUCUUACCAUUCCCGUGAAAAAGUAAUUGAUAUCUUACCAAAUACCAACGUGUAACAGAUAUAUCUUACCUAAUAUAACGUGCAACUAAUGUCCUACCUAAUAUAAAUAUGCAUUGCACGUACAUUAUUACUAGUAAAACUAAAAAAGAAACAAAGGAAAACUAAAAAGUAGAAAAAGAAAGCAAGAAGGAAAGAAAAGUAAAAAAAUCGGUAAAUAUUGUGAAAGAAAUGAACAAAACGAGGAAAAAACAUAAAACUGAUGAAGGAAAAAAGAAAAAUUAUUAAAAAAAUGAAAGAGAUAAAGAUGGGUGAAACCAGUACGUUUUUUUUUUUUUUGAGUCUGGGUGAAACCAGUACGUAGAACAAGUGACUCAGCAGUCGCGCUAACGGGCCGGCCCUUAUGCGCGGACCAUUCAGGCGAGACGAAUGAUAUCCUCGCUGAAAGCGAGAUAUAGUACUCGCGUCGCCGCAUGCCCGCAUCGCCAUCGGAAGCAACCACCGCAUGAUCCGGCGUGGUUGCCGUUCUCUGCAGUAAGCCAACUGUUGCAUGCACAGUUCCGCCCAUCGUCUCUUUGUGAUCAGUGAUAACAGAUUAUUAUUUUCAUUUCUUAAUUUGUACUCCCUCUAAACAAAUGUAAGAGUGUUUAGAUAACUAAAGUAAUGAUCUAAACGCUCUUAUAUUUCUUUACAGAGGGAGUAUCUGAUUUGGAGAACAAUAGGUAAAUAAUUGCUUGGUUAAUUUUUUUUAGCUAGGCUAAUUUAUUCGUGCAAGUAACCCCGCAAAAAAUAUAUAUUCGUGCAAGUAAAGGAAGACGUCAUCAUUUCUCUUUCAAAAUGGGGUGAUCAUAGGGUUAUAUUAUAAUUCUCCCUGUUCUUUCCAUGUAGCUAAAUUAUUGGAGAUAUUGCUGCUACAAAGAAGAAUAAUUUCAUAGUUUUGCUAUCAAAUUUUUAUGUCUUACAUCUUUGUGCAAAAAUAAAAAUAAAAAUACUCCACAUACCCAUAUCGAAAAUCCUGACCCCUCCCCCUCCACCCAAUUAUAUGCAUGCGGCUGACCAAUUUGGAAUGUUGCACAAAUCUUUGCUAUCCGCAUACAACUCCGCAAACAUAUGAGAGAUACAAUUUGUCACUUGCCCUCUUUAAGGCUCAACGCAUCGUCAUCCAGACAUAUGUCCGCGGACCUAUGGGAGCUGAAAUUUGACAUUUGCGCUUGAAGAUUACUAAUGACACCCAUUUUACCGUCAAUGUCCAUUGAUGCCAUAGCACAAAAACGGUUGUUCCUAUCGGCUCCGGCGUCGCUCAUGAUUGGGAGGCUUGAGAGGCGACCAUGUAAGUCUGUUUAGUGCUCGAUUUCAGGAGCGAAACUUCAAAACAACAAAAUAAGGCCACAAAGCACGGGUGUAUAAAAUACAAGUCCUCCUAAAAUAGAAAACUAGGAAUUCUAGAUACCCUUGAGGCAAAGCGAAACCAAUGGCAAUCACAAAGUUUAAUGUCUUCGUGCAGGUUUAACCUUGUCGAUAACAACCGGAAAGUCUUCGGGCAGGCGGCCCUAAGGAGCAGCGCCCUGGAGCCGUAGUUGUUGCCAUUGAACCCUCGAAUAGGAAUUACAAUUGGAUUAUUUGGUCUAAUGGUUAUAGUCAUGAUCAUUCUAAUAUGGGGACAAACGAUAGUCCAAAAGGCAAGAUUGAACAAAGUUAAGGAGUACUAUUUUCCUCAGCACUGAGGUGCUUUUGUUUUAUAGGAUGAAACUAGAGAAAGGUCUUUCUUUCAGUGUAUUUUCAGAAGUUGAACUCAUACAUGCAACCGACAACUUUGACAAUAGCAGAAUACUUGGAAAAGGGGGGCAUGGGACGGUCUAUAAAGGGAUAACAAAUAGUAACAUGCAUGUUGCAAUUAAAAGAUGUGGAUUAGUUGACGAGAGGCAAAAGGAAUUUGGGCAAGAGAUGCUCAUUUUGUCCCAAUUCAAUCACAAGAAUAUCGUUAAGCUUUUGGGUUGCUGCCUUGAGGUGGAAGUUCCAAGUCUAGUAUAUGAUAUGAGUUUGUUCAAAGUGGUAUCCUAUUUGAGCUUAUUCAUGUCAAGAACCAAGCGCUGCAAAUCUCCUUCAGGACCCUCUUAAGAAUUGCUCAUGAAGCAAACGAAAAGACUCAGCUUCCUGCAUUCCUAUGCAUCUCCCCCAAUAAUUCAUGGCGAUGUGAUCUCCCCCAAUAAUUCAUGGCGAUGUGAACACUUCCAACAUCUUUCUUGAUGAUAACUACAUGGCCAAAGUGUCGGACUUUGGAGCCUCCAUACUAGCCCCAUCUGACAAAGAGCAGUUUGUCACUAUGGUUCAGGGUAAUUGUGGAUAUCUUGAUCCUGAAUACAUGCAAGUUAAUCGACAAAAGGAUUAUUGUCGGUGACUUUCCUAUCCGCUACAAAAGAGAACAAUCUAUAUGCAAUGCUGGCGAGCCACGUGAAAGGCCAAGAAAGAAAGCAUGGCAUUGUUGAGAGGAAUUGCGGACCUAGCUAAGAAAUGCCUAGAUAUGUGUGAUGGCCUUCCAUGAAAGAGGACGCCAAUGAGCUCAAUAGAUUGAGGAAGCUUUCAAUACAUCCUUGAGCUCAGUUGGACGUGGAGACGGAUGCAGAGAGCCAGUGGUCAUGAAAUAGAGUCCAGCGGGUAUGCUAUUGGUGAAAGUGACAACCAACAUAUAAGCCCAAGAGGUAACAUAUACAGAGAGGUUAUUUCAUCAGCACAUGCAUGUUGGCAAGAUGAAAACAGCGUGUGCCGUCAGCUGUAAUGGCAAGAUGAAAACAGAUCCUGAAGCUCAGUGUUAACAGUAGUGACAGAACUACAAUCAAUCCGAGGGAUGAGGUCCUAAGUUGUACAGUACAAUCCCCAGGGUAGGGCAUACGGUAGACAUUACCAGAAUGAGCAACGACCUAGAUUUUCAGACUAGAUUUCGAGAAGAAUUCGAGAUCAUGCUCACUUGCUCGCUUGGUAACUAAGGGAUUGAGGGGCCAGGAAGAAAUAUAUAGGGACCGUGGCCAAGAGAGCGCAAGAUAGAAUGAUCAGUCAAAAUCUGACUCUCCCCUAUUCGAGGCAAACUUCUAUGUGCAACAAGCAACCAGAAUGCGCCUACAUUGAUCAGAUCAGAAUGUAGGUUUCAGUAGAACAAAUACAGACAUGGUAAUGCAACUUUUCAUCAAUAACAAAAGACUUCAAAAUGCUGCUACAUGCAUCCGAAUUUCAGGCUUUGUUGAGCUAGGCCAAGUUUCAGUAUUGUUAGAUUGCGAGUGAACCAACCAGCAGGGUGUCAUCAUCAAAAGCAGAUAAGAGGAAUCCAUUGGCAUCAUGACAAUCAGAUCUUAUACAGUAGGAACAUCUUUGAUAUCAAGCUAAGGAGAAUCUGAAAGCAAUCUGAGCACGCCUAAUGUCAAGGAGACCACACACUAGAGCAAAACUCACCAAAGGCUGGAGCUCAGGUAUAUUGUGAACCAAUCAACUAAAAAGCGGUAUGCAAUCAUCAUCAAAAAGCAGCUAAAAAGGAAUCCACUGGCAACUCAGCAUUCAUAACUCGGAUAAAAACUCGGGAGAAACUAAAAGUUUCCAACUGCAGCAAAUACAGAAGGCCUAGGAGAGGGAGCAAAACAGGGCCGUCAUAGAAAACCAUGACCACAUAGCAAUUCAGGUCAAGUAACGCUUCGCUAUUGGUGGGGCGGAGUCUAUGAGAUCAG